CGACACUUUAGUGCCGCUAAAAAUAGCAGUGCUUUACCGCCACUGCCCCUCCCGCCCCAGUGUGACAGCCUAAUGGUUUCUGUCGUUGUGUAACUGCUUUCCCGUAUGUGGUAUGGGCAGACAGCUUACACUGAGUGUCUGCCAGAGCCAUGCAUUGCACCUGUGAUCUACUGAUCGUGGGUGCAAUGCUUUCCAAUGAGAAAAAUUACAUUUUUCCUACCUCCUGCAUUCUUUUUUGUAAAAGGUGAACUUAUCCAUUAAAUCCUAUGUAUCUGUUCAAACUGUAGGUGCACUUCACUUUGAAAAAAGCCCUGCAUGCUGCAUCUUUGGUGCAGUUUUUCAAAAGCGCAAGAAAGGCCACCUUUCAUUGUAAGUCAAUGGGAACGCAUCAAAAGCAUAUCAAAGUGAAAGGGCCCAUAAAUUUUACAAAAGCGCGUCGGUGUGAAAGAACCUUGUAGUAGUGUGCCACUUAAGUGCACAUCACUCUGUCGCCCAAGGAGAGCCUUCCGCUUACAUCUAUGAAAUCACUACUCAAUCCAGAUGCUACUGAAUCUCCUUUGCUAGCGAGGGAGCAACCUUUAGCUCUCCUGGCUGAUGAGGAAGCGACUCCAGAGAAACAGGAAGUGGUCUCUUAGCGAUCCUGAUGUGAGCGCCUGGAUCACUCAUGUGAUCUCUUAGCGAUCCUGACGUGAGCGCCUGGAUCACUCAUGUGGUCUCUUAGCGAUCCUGACGUGAGCGCCUGGAUCACUCAUGUGGUCUCUUGGCGAUCCUGAAGUGAGCGCCUGUAUCACUCAUGUGGUCUCUUGGCGAUCCUGACGUGAGCGCCUGGAUCACUCAUGUGGUCUCUUGGCGAUCCUGACGUGAGCGCCUGGAUCACUCAUGUGGUCUCUUAGCGAUCCUGACGUGAGCGCCUGGAUCACUCAUGUGGUCUCUUGGCGAUCCUGACGUGAGCGCCUGGAUCACUCAUGUGGUCUCUUGGCGAUCCUGACGUGAGCGCCUGGAUCACUCAUGUGGUCUCUUGGCGAUCCUGACGUGAGCGCCUGGAUCACUCAUGUGGCCUCUUGGCGAUCCUGACGUGAACCCCUGGAUCACUCAUGUGACAUAGCACCGCCCUGUCUCUCUGCCUUUCCUAACUGCAGCCCUUGACUACAUAGAGUUCUGUAUGUAGAACUAUUAAUUUUAAAAAUAAAAUAAAAAAAGGUUUCUUGAGUGUACAACCGUUCUUGCUGGUGCUUUUUAUCUGAAGCUCUUUAAGUAUGAAUUGAACUGGUUUGCUGUAAAUAUCUUAACUAGGUUGAGACUUUGGUCUUCUAAAUCAUCUUAUUAAAAAAGACGACCUGAUUUUUCGUUGCUUGUUAUAUGGAAAGUGCAUAGGUAAUAUAAUGUAAUCUAUACUUUAGAAGCUAACCUUUUGCUACAACAAAAUUAUAUUUAAACUGUAUCAUUUAGAAAAAAAAUUAACGGGCUACUUAAAUUACAUGUAGCUGUAAUAAUAAAGAAUUUUAAUUGAAUUUUGCCACAGGAAAGUGAUUUAUAUAUUGUAUGUGUGGUAUGCAUAAUUAUUUCAGGGCUAUGAAACUGGAAACUGGAAUAUUAUUUAUUGCUAACUAUUGGGAACCUUUCAUUAAUAUUUAUUGUUCACUAUUGGAUAACUUUUCAUGAAUGUUUGCUGUCAUGCUUCUUCAGAGAGGCCGGAGGCCCAGUAAAAUCCAUGCUAGAUAAUGUCCAACACACGUGACAGAGCCUCAGAUACAUCUGUCCUACAACAAGAGGCAGCUGUUACAUAGCACUAAUAUUCAUGGUGAUUACACCGAGGUAAUGGUAAUGUAUUGGAACGGACAACUGUCCUUCGUCCACACCAGUAACCUUCACCCUUUUUGUUCUGUAACCUGCUCCAAAAGGAAAGUUCCGUUCAUACAUAAUACUCUUUCUUAUAUUGUCCCACAAAAUGACUGCCCCCGCUGUGUCUAGUCAGUGGGCGCACUUUAUCUGUAAUUUCAUUCUUUUACCAAAGCCAACAAAACAGCAGGGAUUUACAACUUUACAUUUUAGAUAUUCAUACCAGAUGAAAUAUAUUUCAUAGCAUUUUAUUGUAUUUAUCUUGGAAACACAUUUACAGAUGGCAUAGCAGAAUAAUGCCUGCUGUUCAACCUAUAUUUUCUCCCAGAAUCCUUCGCAAGGCAACCUUUUUUCAGAGAGGACAAAUCUUCAACAUUUCUAGAGUCGCUAAAUACUGACAUGAAAUCUAUGACCUAGCUGUGCUUUGCUGUAAAGAAAGUAAACAUUUUUAAUUCUUCAUAUGAAAUAAAAAAAAAAACUGACAGGA